rnacentral:rRNA from 1 species
GAUGAACGCUAGCGGCAGGCCUAAUACAUGCAAGUCGGACGGGAUCCAUCGGUAGCUUGCUAUCCAUGGUGAGAGUGGCGCACGGGUGCGUAACGCGUGAGCAACCUGCCUCCAUCAGGGGGAUAGCCUCUCGAAAGAGAGAUUAACACCGCAUAACAUAUCAGACCGGCAUCGGUCGGAUAUCAAAUAUUUAUAGGAUGGGGAUGGGCUCGCGUGACAUUAGCUUGUUGGUGGGGUAACGGCCCACCAAGGCGACGAUGUCUAGGGGCUCUGAGAGGAGAAUCCCCCACACUGGUACUGAGACACGGACCAGACUCCUACGGGAGGCAGCAGUAAGGAAUAUUGGUCAAUGGGCGGAAGCCUGAACCAGCCAUGCCGCGUGCAGGAUGACUGCCCUAUGGGUUGUAAACUGCUUUUGUCCGGGAAUAAACCUCCUUACGUGUAGGGAGCUGAAUGUACCGGAAGAAUAAGGAUCGGCUAACUCCGUG